GACGGAGGGGGCUAGCGUUGUUCGGAAUUACUGGGCGUAAAGGGCGCGUAGGCGGCAAAUCAAGUUAGGCGUGAAAUCCCUGGGCUUAACCCAGGAACUGCGUUUAAUACUGGUUAGCUAGAGAUCGGUAGAGGAAAGUGGAAUUCCUAGUGUAGAGGUGAAAUUCGUAGAUAUUAGGAAGAACACCAGAGGCGAAGGCGGCUUUCUGGGCCGAUACUGACGCUGAGGCGCGAAAGCGUGGGGAG
rnacentral:rRNA from 1 species